UUGGACAGAGCUCUGCAUACCAAAUGAGGCAGCCCUGAGGAACAUGUCCUGAAGCCUUUUUGGUGACAGAAUGUAUGGGCACACUCGGAUGGGGGGAAAAAAAGGAGCUUCCAUUUCAGGAAGUAGCUACUGUGGCAGAUGAGGAGUGCACAGUUGCUUUGUGUGAGUUCGUGUCAGCUUUCACCAGGGCAGUUUGCUACAAAGUCUGUGGGACACUUUGUGGGUUGUUUCCCUGACAUGCUCAGCUGAGAGCACUGUUUGAGGCCAAGGGGUAAGCUCCUGGUCACAGCUGCUCUGGCCUGUGGCAAGGACCUGGCCCAGGGUAUCUGCUGAUGCUCCUUAUGGAUUCAGUGAUCCUUACAUAUCCUUUCCAACUCAGGAUAUUCUAUGAUGCUAUGAUUCUAAGCAUUGAGCCCUUUUGGAAGAAGUUUCUUGCAUGAAACUUCCAUGUCACCCAAUACUGUUCAAAGGCCAAAGUCUAUCUCCAGUUGUCCUGUCUUUUGCUUCUGUUUUUGAGUGGCCAUUGGAGUGAUAUGAGGAAGCAGCAGGGGAUGGGGAACUAAUGAAUGUGCCACCUCACACCAGGCUCUUAUCUACAGAUCUUGGGUUCCAUUAUACCCACCGGAUCCCUGUCCUACCGUACAGCAGCACUGACCCUCCUUGCUUCCUGCAUCUGAACAAAACCAGUUGUGUAUCAGAAAUGGAUGUGCCCAGGUCUGCCAGACCAUGGAUAUCUUCAACAUCUCAAGGCCAGAUGUCUCAGGAUAGCAGGGAGAAGAAGAACAAAAUCCUUAUCUAACAUCACUCCCAAAAUGCCAUGCUCACCCCAGACCAGUUAAUCCCAAGCAGGUGGAUGACCAACAAGGUGAAAGCUGUUGGGGACAAAUCAGAGAAGAACGAAGGGAACAAGAGACAUCAG